GACGAACGCUGGCGGCGUGCUUAACACAUGCAAGUCGAACGGAAAGGCCCUGCUUUUGUGGGGUGCUCGAGUGGCGAACGGGUGAGUAACACGUGAGUAACCUGCCCUUGACUUUGGGAUAACUUCAGGAAACUGGGGCUAAUACCGGAUAGGAGCUCCUGCUGCAUGGUGGGGGUUGGAAAGUUUCGGCGGUUGGGGAUGGACUCGCGGCUUAUCAGCUUGUUGGUGGGGUAGUGGCUUACCAAGGCUUUGACGGGUAGCCGGCCUGAGAGGGUGACCGGCCACAUUGGGACUGAGAUACGGCCCAGACUCCUACGGGAGGCAGGAGUGGGGAAUAUUGCACAAUGGGCGGAAGCCGGAUGCAGCAACGCCGCGUGCGGGAUGACGGCCUUCGGGUUGUAAACCGCUUUCGCCUGUGACGAAGCGUGAGUGACGGUAAUGGGUAAAGAAGCACCGGCUAACUAC
rnacentral:rRNA from 1 species